rnacentral:rRNA from 1 species
CGCAACCGAGUCUUAAUUGGGCGUUAAGUUGCAGGGUAUAGACCCGAAACCCGGUGAUCUAGCCAUGGGCAGGUUGAAGGUUGGGUAACACUAACUGGAGGACCGAACCGACUAAUGUUGAAAAAUUAGCGGAUGACCUGUGGCUGGGGGUGAAAGGCCAAUCAAACCGGGAGAUAGCUGGUUCUCCCCGAAAGCUAUUUAGGUAGCGCCUCGUGAAUUCAUCUCCGGGGGUAGAGCACUGUUUCGGCUAGGGGGCCAUCCCGGCUUACCAACCCGAUGCAAACUGCGAAUACCGGAGAAUGUUAUCACGGGAGACACACGGCGGGUGCUAACGUCCGUCGUGAAGAGGGAAACAACCCAGACCGCCAGCUAAGGUCCCAAAGUCAUGGUUAAGUGGGAAACGAUGUGGGAAGGCCCAGACAGCCAGGAUGUUGGCUUAGAAGCAGCCAUCAUUUAAAGAAAGCGUAAUAGCUCACUGGUCGAGUCGGCCUGCGCGGAAGAUGUAACGGGGCUAAACCAUGCACCGAAGCUGCGGCAGCGA